rnacentral:rRNA from 1 species
GACGAACGCUGGCGGCGUGCUUAACACAUGCAAGUCGAACGGAAAGGCCCUGCUUUUGUGGGGUGCUCGAGUGGCGAACGGGUGAGUAACACGUGAGUAACCUGCCCUUGACUUUGGGAUAACUUCAGGAAACUGGGGCUAAUACAGGAUAGGAGCUCCUGCUGCAUGGUGGGGGUUGGAAAGUUUCGGCGGUUGGGGAUGGACGCGCGGCUUAUCAGCUUGUUGGUGGGGUAGUGGCUUACCAAGGCUUGGACGGGUAGCCGGCCUGAGAGGGUGACCGGCGACAAUGGGACUGAGAGACGGCCCAGACUCGUACGGGGGGCAGCGGUGGGGAAUAUUGCACAGUGGGAGGAAGCCUGAUGCAGCAACGCCGCGUGCGGGAUGACGGCCUUCGGGUUGUAAACCGCUUUCGCCUGUGACGAAGCGUGAGUGACGGUAAUGGGUAAAGAAGCACCGGCUAACUACGUG